rnacentral:lncRNA from 1 species
UAAUCCUAAUACCAUCCCAUAGUCUAAACAAACAAAUUUAAGCUCUUUACUUGCCUUUUUUGUUGGUGGUAAAAUACUUGGAGUCAGUCAUUCUGACAGCUUCUCAGAUCUGAAGAAGAGGAAAUAAAGCACAUUUACAUAUCAACAUUUUAAAAACGCAUAAAAGCAACAGUAUAAUCUCAAAUGAUCCUUUAUUGACGGCUGGCAAUUUUCAUGACAUUAGAAUACAGAUACAAAUGUGAAACGUGCCUGUAAUUGCCAAUUAACACAGAAAAUCAUCAGGGACAGUUAUGUAGACCAUUUGCUACAUGAACAUACACAGUAACACAGCCUUGCAUUACAAACGAUUACAUAAACUGAAAAUAUACGUCAAACUUAAUAUCUGCAGCUGUACUUCACAAAUGUUAUGACUGUUAAGUUUAUUAAUUGGGCGUGACCCAAAAAUUAUCCAGCUAACGUUAUGCUAUGCUAGCGAAAACCUUGGAAGCAGGACCUUUAUCGACUGAAAUACAGACAUCUGUCCUUUCUAAAAUUAUAACGCAAACAAGUGAUGAAAACACAAAAAAAUCCGAUACGCACAAGGGAUGUAAGAAUCGACGCAAUAUACGAAAAUCUUCGUUUACUGGAGCUCUUCCCGGAGAUAUGGGAGAUACGGUUGCUUCCUCUGCUUUUGGUCGGCCCUGGAAGAUGGAGCGCACCCGGAAAAACAAAAUGAAGCGCGGAACCAACGACCGGGAAGAUCGCGUGAGACCGACCGGAGCCACACAGAUGUUACCCCGGAUGCAGACAGGGCACGGGUGUGUGGCUGCAAUCAUGCACCAUUCUUAUAUAACCAGAACUGCCACCCAACAAUCACAUUUCACACUGACUGAGAACAUGAGUGAUCUCUGCAGAAGGAAACCGCAUGAGACUGAAGAACAAAGAGGUCGGUGUCUGCUCCUUGCCACAUCCAGUGUAGAGAGCAUUACUGAUUAUAAUAGGCUCUGUUGUAUUUUGUUGUGCCGUCCAGUGUAGACACAGUGUUAGACCUCUUAUUAAAUAUCAUUACAUAUGAUUCAUGUAUGAUGCCAUUCAUCACUGAUAGAUCUUUUCUAUUUCAUCGAUAAACCACAAGGUAACUGUAACAUAUUUAAACAAUAUUAAUAAGAAUAAAUAAAAAUGCAUCUGUGACUUACUGUAAUAUUGCUUCUUAUUUUUCAGUGGGUUGAAAGUUCUUAUUAAACACAUAGCUUUAUUCUCAUCUCUGUGCAUUUUCAGACGUUGUGCAUAUUUCUGAAUCAAAUCUUUUUAACUUUUUAACAUCAUAAUAUUGGUUGUCUUCUCUUUUGUCAGAGUUUAGCUCCAACCCCAGUUAAGCAGAUCGGGGCAGCUGAUCAAGGAUCACCAGAAACUCUGCAGAACAUUGGUCCUCCAGCCCAGGACUGGACACCAGUGUUGUAAGUCAUUAAUCUAGAAGUCAUCCUGCCUCUUUGAAGUGUCAUGUUCAGAAUAUAUUACAGGAGAUCUCUCAUUGUCUCUUAAGGUCCACUUACAUGCAGAGUUUUGCUCCAACCUGCAUUGCACCUGAACACAUUAAUCAAGGUCUUCAGUUUUACCAACUAUUAGUGUUGUCACGGUACCAAAAUUUCAGUAUUCGGUACCAGUACCAGUGAAAAUCCAUUGUACUCGGUACCAAUUUCAGUACCAAAGCAAAACACAAAAACAUGCUAAUUAAUUUAUUAUUAUUAUUAUUAUUAUUAUUAUUAGCUGCACUUAUACUAACAAUUAACACUUAUACUAACAAUUAACUAACAAAACAGCGUUCAUUUCAAUCCGACAUUCAAAUGUUUAUCAGGAUAUAUAUACACAAUUAUAUAUAUCCUGAUAAACAUACACAGAAUGACAGUCAAUCACUGAUCUUUAUUGAACUGCUUUUAUAGUUUUAAUAAUUACUUUAUUUGUAAUGAACACAAUAAAGGGAUUUUACAAUGGAUUAUUUGUUUUCUUUACUUGAAUGCUUUUGUUCAGAUGUAAAAUAAAAAGUGAAUUAUUAUUAAGAAAAGAACUGCAGGAAAAGAUGCAAUGUUGCUCUGUGAUUUUGCUUUGGAACCUUUAGAAAACUUUAACCUGAUUUUUCUCAAAAUUGACUUUGCCAACUCUUUCAACUUCAAACUGGUGUAGCUCACCUGCUUUUUUUGUCAGAUUUCAACAAAUUAUACAUCAUUUUGAAGGACUAUUAAUGAGAAUAAUAAUAAUAAUAAAAAAAAAACUCAUUUUUGCUCAUUGUGACUUAUUUUGCCAGCACAGGUCACACAUGCUACUUAAUUUCCACUUGAGAGUGGUCAGAUUUAAAGUCUGAGAUUAGUCCAUCAGUUCUUGAAUUUCAAUUUGUUUAUGUGUGUGUGUGUGUGUGUGUGUGUGUGUUUGAAACAAGAGUGUCUGUCUCAGAAGCUGAAGAAAAGAGGCCACACCUCAGAGGAAAUAAGCGCCUCCUAAGUGUACGGAAAUACCUGGCUGAGAAGAUCAGUGACAUAAACCAGAUAAAACUGUCAGUGGUAAGUAUUUACAUAUCCAUAUCCGAAUGUAAUUACUACAACCUCUUAUAUGAUUUGAAGUGAAUAGAGACUAUGUACCAUAAAAAGUAGACAAUGUAAUUAUUCAAGACUAUUUGUGACCCUGGACCACAAAACCAGUUAUAAGGGUAAUUUUUUAAAAAUGUAGAUUUUUAUAUCAAUAAUAUUAAGAAUUAAUUUUCCAUUGAUGUAUGGUUUGUUAGGAGGACAAUAUUUGUCUGAGAUACAACUAUUUGAAAAUCUGGAAUCUGAGGGUGCAAAAAAAUCUAAAUAUUGCGAAAAAUAUUUAAAGUCCAAAGCAAAGCAUUUUAUUAAUCAAAAAUUAAGUUUUGAUACAUUUAUGGUAGGAAAUUUACAAAAUAUAUUCAUGGAACAUGAUCUUUACUUAAAAUCCUAAUGAUUUUUGGCAUGAAAGAAAAAUCAAUAAUUUUGUCCCAUACAAUGUUUUGUUGCCUAUUGCUAUAAAUAAACCCCAGCGACUUAAAACUGCUUUUGUGCUCCAGGGACACAUUUAUUCACUCACUCAUAACAACAAACAUCACUGAACUACACCUAAACCAUUGAGAUAUUCAACACAGCAGACAAUAAUUAAUGACAAUAUGCAUCUAUUAAAGCAGCGCAUAAGAUAAAUUAAAAAUGAUCUGCUUUAAAAAAUGUGUCCAUUACACAUUUAUCCAAAGUGUUGGAUGAAUUUAAACAUGAUGAUGUUUUGUCAACAACUAAGUUUUUGCAACUUUUUUGAGAUUGCCAUAUAAAUAUAUAUAUGGAUAAUCUCACAUACUGGUAAUGUGGUUUAAGUGGUACAUUGUCCUAACAAAUUUUCCUUCUCUUUUGCAGGUCUAAGACAGCUACAAUGAAGCCACAAAUGCAGUUCAUAGUUCCUGUAUUUCUAUAAUGCAUUAAUGAAUAACAAUAAUUAUGUAAUGUCAAUUAAAUGUAAUGUCAAGGUUUUGUGUUAAUUCCAGCUAUGUUGAGUAUUCUGUGAAUAAUUUUGAUUUUAGGUGCAU